UGUUACCUUUUUCUCCACCUUUAAUUGGGCAGUCGAGCCAUGCUAAGCAGAGGGGAAAAGCUGGAAUGAUGAUAUCGUGGUGAACGUACAUGUUCGAAUCACCACCAGCCGGGUCCUCAUAGAUCCAAACCUGUUUAUGACUGACUUCAUCCUCGUUACGUGCACAUAUUAACACAGCAUCCUCAGCCUUUAUGAUCACGUCCUCAAGCUCUUCAGAGUCAUAAUCCUAACACCAACAACAAAUCAGCCCCCAACUUAAAAUACAAUAACAAAACAAAAAAGAA